rnacentral:rRNA from 1 species
GAUGAACGCUGGCGGCGUGCCUAAUACAUGCAAGUCGAGCGAACAGACGAGGAGCUUGCUCCUCUGACGUUAGCGGCGGACGGGUGAGUAACACGUGGAUAACCUACCUAUAAGACUUGGAUAACUUCGGGAAACCGGAGCUAAUACCGGAUAAUAUAUUUAACCGCAUGGUUCAAUAGUGAAAGACGGGUUUUCUGUCACUUAUAGAUGGAUCCGCGCCGCAUUAGCUAGUUGGUAAGGUAACGGCUUACCAAGGCAACGAUGCGUAGCCGACCUGAGAGGGUGAUCGGCCACCCUGGAACUGAGACACGGUCCAGACUCCUACGGGAGGCAGCAGUAGGGAAUCUUCCGCAAUGGGGGAAAGCAUGACGGAGCAACGCCGCGUGAGUGAUGAAGGUCUUCGGAUCGUAAAACUCUGUUAUUAGGGAAGAACAAAUGUGUAAGUAACUAUGCACGUCUUGACGGUACCUAAUCAGAAAGCCACGGCUAACUACGUG